rnacentral:rRNA from 1 species
GACGAACGCUGGCGGCGUGCCUAAUACAUGCAAGUCGAGCGGAAGUUGAAGAGCUUGCUCUUCAACUUUAGCGGCGGACGGGUGAGUAACACGUGGGCAACCUGCCCUGCAGAUCGGGAUAACUCCGGGAAACCGGUGCUAAUACCGAAUAGUUUUCGCCACCUCCUGGUGGCGUACGGAAAGACGGUUUCGGCUGUCACUGCAGGAUGGGCCCGCGGCCCAUUAGCUAGUUGGUGGGGUCACGGCCCACCAAGGCAACGAUGCGUAGCCGACCUGAGAGGGUGAUCGGCCACACUGGGACUGAGACACGGCCCAGACUCCUACGGGAGGCAGCAGUAGGGAAUCUUCCGCAAUGGACGAAAGGCUGACGGAGCAACGCCGCGUGAGUGACGAAGGUUUUCGGAUCGUAAAACUCUGUUGUGAGGGAAGAACAAGUACCACUUAACUACUGGUACCUUGACGGUACCUCACCAGAAAGCCACGGCUAACUACGUGCCAGCAGCCGCAGUAAAAC